GGUUGGGUAGGGGCCCUCGUCUUACCCAGCAGUGUUUGGGUGCUGGUUGGGAGUCUCUAAUACUGCCGGGUAAUGAUGGAGGCCCCUGUC
ensembl:miRNA